rnacentral:lncRNA from 1 species
AUAAAUUGACUUCCUGUGCCUGACCUGCAGGUGGCGGCCAUUCUGUUUCCUGGCCAUGGCUUCACUAAUUUAGGCCUGCUGGGCUCACGGGAAGCCCUUCAAAAAAACGACUCCUUUCAGAUUAACAUGUAAAAUUUAAUUACGGAGGUCCAGGCUGAGAUGAUGUCUAAAGCCAUUUACUAAGCCCGGCGGCCUCCCCGUCCUGGGGCUAAGGAGGCCGAAGCAGAGCUUUGAUCAUUAACCGCUGAGAAAAUCUCAGCUUGCAUAUUAAGAGAAGUGGCAGCGCUUUUAACCCCUUUGGGAUGAGGACAGCGGAGAUGGAGACAGCCAAACGGAUGUAGAACCUCCUAUGAACUUCAAGAGAACAUUUCCGGGAGGAGCAGGGCCCAGCUCUGGUUUUAAUGAUCAGAAGGCCUGAAAGGGCUGUCUUCUCACCCGGAUGGGCCCUUGGCAGACUCCUGGCCUGCCUUCCACAGCUCUCUGUCCUAUCAGGUGGGGAAGGCAGUUCUGAUGGCCAGUUUUUCCUGUGCCCUGGGUUGGGGGCAGCAGGGUGGGGAGAGGUAUCAGGUAUUUGCUCCCAGUUGGUUAGAAAACAUAUAAGAAGAUGCCUGUUUUAGCACUAUCAGGUGGCCCGCAACUGCCCCACUGCCAUUUUAGGAUUGCCAAGAUAGCUUUUAUAAGCAGAGAAAGCUACAUUUGACUCUUUCAGGGAGUCUGGGCACUGCACUACUCCUCGCCAGACCUCUGGUGUACUAAAGAUCUAAACAUUUUCUCUUUUAGAAGCUUCAAGCCUUCUUUCCCUGUGUUAGAAUUUAAUUAAGCCCAGGACUACCUGGUCUGUAAGGAAUUACCUCUGCUGCCGCCCCAGGGGUCCUCAAUUUUAGUUCCAGGACCCAUGGAAUGAAUACUGACAACACCCCCACUCCCACCCCAAACCAGCUGGCUACCUUGUUUGGGGGUUGAGAGACAGCGCAAACGGAAAUAUACCCAGCCUCCUAAAAGGGUGAUUAAACAUUUAAAAUAUCAA